rnacentral:rRNA from 1 species
GACGAACGCUGGCGGCGUGCUUAACACAUGCAAGUCGAACGAGGCCCUGCCUUCGGGCAGGUGACCUAGUGGCGAACGGGUGAGUAACACGUGGGCAACCUACCCUCAGCUCUGGGAUAACCCCGGGAAACCGGAGCUAAUACCGGAUACGACCAGGAACGACAUCGUGCCUGGUGGAAAGUUUUUCGGCUGAGGAUGGGCCCGCGGCCUAUCAGCUUGUUGGUGGGGUAAUGGCCUACCAAGGCGACGACGGGUAGCCGGCCUGAGAGGGCGAACGGCCACACUGGGACUGAGACACGGCCCAGACUCCUACGGGAGGCAGCAGUGGGGAAUAUUGCGCAAUGGGCGAAAGCCUGACGCAGCGACGCCGCGUGAGGGAUGAAGGCC